rnacentral:rRNA from 2 species
UUAAGCGACUAAGCGUACACGGUGGAUGCCCUGGCAGUCAGAGGCGAUGAAGGACGUGCUAAUCUGCGAUAAGCGUCGGUGAGGUGAUAUGAACCGUUAUAACCGGCGAUUUCCGAAUGGGGAAACCCAGUGUGUUUCGACACACUAUCAUUAACUGAAUCCAUAGGUUAAUGAGGCGAACCGGGGGAACUGAAACAUCUAAGUACCCCGAGGAAAAGAAAUCAACCGAGAUUCCCCCAGUAGCGGCGAGCGAACGGGGAGGAGCCCAGAGCCUGAAUCAGUGUGUGUGUUAGUGGAAGCGUCUGGAAAGGCGCGCGAUACAGGGUGACAGCCCCGUACACAAAAAUGCACAUGCUGUGAGCUCGAUGAGUAGGGCGGGACACGUGGUAUCCUGUCUGAAUAUGGGGGGACCAUCCUCCAAGGCUAAAUACUCCUGACUGACCGAUAGUGAACCAGUACCGUGAGGGAAAGGCGAAAAGAACCCCGGCGAGGGGAGUGAAAAAGAACCUGAAACCGUGUACGUACAAGCAGUGGGAGCCUCUUAAUGGGGUGACUGCGUACCUUUUGUAUAAUGGGUCAGCGACUUAUAUUCUGUAGCAAGGUUAACCGAAUAGGGGAGCCGAAGGGAAACCGAGUCUUAACUGGGCGUUAAGUUGCAGGGUAUAGACCCGAAACCCGGUGAUCUAGCCAUGGGCAGGUUGAAGGUUGGGUAACACUAACUGGAGGACCGAACCGACUAAUGUUGAAAAAUUAGCGGAUGACUUGUGGCUGGGGGUGAAAGGCCAAUCAAACCGGGAGAUAGCUGGUUCUCCCCGAAAGCUAUUUAGGUAGCGCCUCGUGAAUUCAUCUCCGGGGGUAGAGCACUGUUUCGGCAAGGGGGUCAUCCCGACUUACCAACCCGAUGCAAACUGCGAAUACCGGAGAAUGUUAUCACGGGAGACACACGGCGGGUGCUAACGUCCGUCGUGAAGAGGGAAACAACCCAGACCGCCAGCUAAGGUCCCAAAGUCAUGGUUAAGUGGGAAACGAUGUGGGAAGGCCCAGACAGCCAGGAUGUUGGCUUAGAAGCAGCCAUCAUUUAAAGAAAGCGUAAUAGCUCACUGGUCGAGUCGGCCUGCGCGGAAGAUGUAACGGGGCUAAACCAUGCACCGAAGCUGCGGCAGCGACACUAUGUGUUGUUGGGUAGGGGAGCGUUCUGUAAGCCUGUGAAGGUAGCCUGUGAGGGUUGCUGGAGGUAUCAGAAGUGCGAAUGCUGACAUAAGUAACGAUAAAGCGGGUGAAAAGCCCGCUCGCCGGAAGACCAAGGGUUCCUGUCCAACGUUAAUCGGGGCAGGGUGAGUCGACCCCUAAGGCGAGGCCGAAAGGCGUAGUCGAUGGGAAACAGGUUAAUAUUCCUGUACUUGGUGUUACUGCGAAGGGGGGACGGAGAAGGCUAUGUUGGCCGGGCGACGGUUGUCCCGGUUUAAGCGUGUAGGCUGGUUUUCCAGGCAAAUCCGGAAAAUCAAGGCUGAGGCGUGAUGACGAGGCACUACGGUGCUGAAGUGACAAAUGCCCUGCUUCCAGGAAAAGCCUCUAAGCAUCAGGUAACAUCAAAUCGUACCCCAAACCGACACAGGUGGUCAGGUAGAGAAUACCAAGGCGCUUGAGAGAACUCGGGUGAAGGAACUAGGCAAAAUGGUGCCGUAACUUCGGGAGAAGGCACGCUGAUAUGUAGGUGAAGCGACUUGCUCGUGGAGCUGAAAUCAGUCGAAGAUACCAGCUGGCUGCAACUGUUUAUUAAAAACACAGCACUGUGCAAACACGAAAGUGGACGUAUACGGUGUGACGCCUGCCCGGUGCCGGAAGGUUAAUUGAUGGGGUUAGCGGUAACGCGAAGCUCUUGAUCGAAGCCCCGGUAAACGGCGGCCGUAACUAUAACGGUCCUAAGGUAGCGAAAUUCCUUGUCGGGUAAGUUCCGACCUGCACGAAUGGCGUAAUGAUGGCCAGGCUGUCUCCACCCGAGACUCAGUGAAAUUGAACUCGCUGUGAAGAUGCAGUGUACCCGCGGCAAGACGGAAAGACCCCGUGAACCUUUACUAUAGCUUGACACUGAACAUUGAGCCUUGAUGUGUAGGAUAGGUGGGAGGCUUUGAAGUGUGGACGCCAGUCUGCAUGGAGCCGACCUUGAAAUACCACCCUUUAAUGUUUGAUGUUCUAACGUUGGCCCGUAAUCCGGGUUGCGGACAGUGUCUGGUGGGUAGUUUGACUGGGGCGGUCUCCUCCUAAAGAGUAACGGAGGAGCACGAAGGUUGGCUAAUCCUGGUCGGACAUCAGGAGGUUAGUGCAAUGGCAUAAGCCAGCUUGACUGCGAGCGUGACGGCGCGAGCAGGUGCGAAAGCAGGUCAUAGUGAUCCGGUGGUUCUGAAUGGAAGGGCCAUCGCUCAACGGAUAAAAGGUACUCCGGGGAUAACAGGCUGAUACCGCCCAAGAGUUCAUAUCGACGGCGGUGUUUGGCACCUCGAUGUCGGCUCAUCACAUCCUGGGGCUGAAGUAGGUCCCAAGGGUAUGGCUGUUCGCCAUUUAAAGUGGUACGCGAGCUGGGUUUAGAACGUCGUGAGACAGUUCGGUCCCUAUCUGCCGUGGGCGCUGGAGAACUGAGGGGGGCUGCUCCUAGUACGAGAGGACCGGAGUGGACGCAUCACUGGUGUUCGGGUUGUCAUGCCAAUGGCACUGCCCGGUAGCUAAAUGCGGAAGAGAUAAGUGCUGAAAGCAUCUAAGCACGAAACUUGCCCCGAGAUGAGUUCUCCCUGACUCCUUGAGAGUCCUGAAGGAACGUUGAAGACGACGACGUUGAUAGGCCGGGUGUGUAAGCGCAGCGAUGCGUUGAGCUAACCGGUACUAAUGAACCGUGAGGCUUAACCUU